rnacentral:lncRNA from 1 species
AUUUAAAUACAUAAGAUGGUCUCUGUUUAAAGAAACAUGAAAAACUUAGUCUUGUGUAUGGUUUUGUCCAAAUCACAGCUGCUUUGUAGUUUUGAGCAGCAUAGUAGCAGAAUGAAGAUUUCUAGCUUCAGAUCGUCAAAAUUCUUUUCAUCAACCAGUCCCAGAUGAGGUUAACAAUGCCCUGCCUCUCUCAGCUAGCUUCAAGCUCUUACUAAAUUGAUGUGCACUCUGACAAAAUAAAUAAGAAGAACACGAUCCAAAUCUUGUGUUAGUUUCUGUAUGCCUUGAUCUAAUAAAUCAAGCACAAGAAUACUGCAGUUCAAAUGCUGGUUAAUGUUAGCUCUAACAGUUUUCACAUUUCAGAAUCAUACUAUUUACCAAUGCAAAAAUGAUAAGCAGGAGGACAUGUUUUUCUCAAUUAUUGAAGUACACAUAACAAACUAUUUUCAGCACAAAAUACAAUUUUCCAUCUAAACAGUAUAUGGGGCAUUGAAUGACUAGAAGUUUCAUAUAAAGGCUGGAUUUUUUUAUUUUAGCAAGAAGAGUGUCAAACAUGUGUUCAUGAUUGAAGAGAUUGAAUAUCCCUAUGAUUCACCAUUUGUUAACAAAUGGCAGAAAAGUGAAGCCAGCAGGCCCAGCACACACCCAUUCGAAAUUGAAAAAUGCAAAUCAUUGUUCCUUACAUCAAUAUGAUAGAAUGUUUGGAGCUUAAAUCAUUAAAAAUCAAAUGAUUACAAACAGAGGAUUAUUCUAAAAGUAUUUUAGAACCAAGAAAAUUGCAAACAUAGCUAGCAAGUAUAUAGCUACAAAAAGGUAUUCCACUUCAGGUUAAUAAUGAUUGCAGGCGAGAAGUUUUAGGAUAAAUAGUAAACUCAUUGCAAAGAACCAAAAAAAAUGGGGAGCCGAAUCUCCAGUCUAGGAACAUAUACAUGGGAGCAUUAAAAAAUGACAAUAAGAGUUAAUAUCUAAACUAUAACUUACCAAUAAACACUAAAGAUCCCUGAAAAUGUAGAGCAAGAUAAACUACAUACCACUAAAACAGACCUAUAAAAUCCACACUUGAUACUAGAUGCUUAUCUAAACCCUCAAAAAUCCACAAUUCUUAUCAAGCCAUGCACCCAGAGGCACAUUUGAACUAUCAUCCACAUAAGAAAAUCAAACCUCUUCCUUCAAUUCUCAUCCGAUUUGAAUACAAGUCCAUCCACGUUUGUAUGACCCAACAAAUAUCCAAAACAGAAAGAAAAUGAAGAAGAAAAUGAAGCAUAGACCUUCAACACAAUUGGAUUGAGAAGAGGACGAGAAAUGAUGUACAAAAUCAAUGGUUUCCCCAUCCUAUUUCAAAUAUAACGCAGAGUAAUC